UACAGGGGAAGGCGCCCCAACCCCCUGAUCAUCCCUGCUCUGUGCCUGAAAGGGGGGAGCUCCCCAACCCCCUGAUCGCUUGUGGCUCUGUGUGUGACAGGGGGCAGGG